GCCAGGUGUGGUGGUGUGAGCCUGUAGUCCCAGCUACUCGGGAGGCUGAGGCGGGAGGAUAGCUUGAGCCCAGGAGUUCUGGGAUGUAGUGUGCUACGCCAAUUGGGUGUCCACACUAAGUUCAGCAUCAAUAUGGUGACCUCUCAGGAGCGAGGGAUUACCAGGUUGCCUAGGAAGGGGUGAGCCAGCCCAGGUCAGCCAAAAUUCCUGUGCUGAUUAGCAGUGGGAUCUGUGCCUGUGAAAAGCUACUGCACUCUAGCCUGAGCAACAUAGUGAGAGACUCUGUCUCU
ensembl:misc_RNA Metazoa_SRP Metazoan signal recognition particle RNA